AUGAACGCUGGCGGCGUGCCUAAUCCAUGCAAGUCGAGCGAACAGACGAGGAGCUUGCUCCUCUGACGUUAGCGGCGGACGGGUGAGUAACACGUGGAUAACCUACCUAUAAGACUGGGAUAACUUCGGGAAACCGGAGCUAAUACCGGAUAAUAUAUUGAACCGCAUGGUUCAAUAGUGAAAGACGGUUUUGCUGUCACUUAUAGAUGGAUCCGCGCCGCAUUAGCUAGUUGGUAAGGUAACGGCUUACCAAGGCAACGAUGCGUAGCCGACCUGAGAGGGUGAUCGGCCACACUGGAACUGAGACACGGUCCAGACUCCUACGGGAGGCAGCAGUAGGGAAUCUUCCGCAAUGGGCGAAAGCCUGACGGAGCAACGCCGCGUGAGUGAUGAGGGUCUUCGGAUCGUAAAACUCUGUUAUUAGGGAAGAACAAAUGUGUAAGUAACUAUGCACGUCUUGACGGUACCUAAUCAGAAAGCCACGGCUAACUACGUG
rnacentral:rRNA from 1 species